UAAUCUGGAACCUAGAGGUUCCAAAUCAAGGUGUUGGCAGGGCCAUACUCUCCCUGAAGGCUCUAGAGGUGAAUUUGGUCCUUGGCUUUCUCUUGGCUUCCAGUGUCGCUGCCAAUCCUUGGUGUUCCUUGACUUGUGGACCCAUCACUCCAAUCUGCCUCCGUUGUCACAUGACAUUCUACAUUCUCCUCGUGUGUCUGGCUUUGUGUCUUCUUCUUUUCUUGUAAGGACACCCAUCACAGUGGGUUAAGGGCCCACCAUAUUCCAGUAUCAUCUCAAGAUAACGGUGUGACAUAAUGGUGCGGCAGAGGUUAUGGCAGCUCCUAAUCACCAAAGACAAGGCUUGUCUGUGUAUUUGAUGGAACACUGACCUUUUCCAGACUUUAUGAACUGACUUCUAUGAGGAAAGAUCUUCACAUGCUGGGGAUGAAGUGGCAACCAAGAAGAUUUCUCUUGAUGCUGAGCUAUGCAGGCCUGAGAUAUGAGGUUACACAGAGUCUCACUCUGUGCCAGGCUGGAGUGCGGUGGUGCGAUCUCGGCUUACUGCAACCUCCACCUCCCGCGUUCAAGUGAUUCUCCUGCCUCAGCCUCUCAAGCAGCUGGGACUACAGGCGCCCACUACCACGCCCAGCUAAUUUUUGUAUUUUUAGUAGAAACGGGGUUUCACCAUGUUGGCCAGGAUGGUCUCGAUCUCUUGACCUCGUGAUCCACCUGCCGCGGCCUCCCAAAGUGCUGAGAUUACAGGCGUGAGCCACUGCGCCUGGCCAAGAAGAUAAUAGUAUUUCUUACUAUUAUUUAUUACUAUGUAAUGGCAUUGGUAGGAGAUCCAGACUGGAUGGCACCUCCAAUUAUCAGGAACCGGAGCCCCCUUCUUUUGGUUCUACCAUUCUCAACUUGUUGCUAUCAUUUCAUGGUCCUAGAUGGCUGCCCAGCAACUUCCACAUCAUAUGCAUUCCAGCAAGAAGAAAUGAAAAAUGCAGGGAGAGGGGUUAUUUAUCCUAACGUUAAGUCAGGACCAGGAAGUGGCCCUUGGCACUUCCGUUUAUGUCUGAUUGGCCAGCACUUAAUUGCCUGCUGCGCCUGGUUCUGUGGGAUACUGGAACGUUAGGCUUUAGCUGGGAGGCUAUGCAAGAGUUAAAAUUCCAUUUUCCGGGAUACGAAGAGAAUGCUUUUUGGAGGUACAAUGAGCAAUUGAACCUCAUGAACUAAUAAUGCAUCACAUUUUCUUUUUAAAGAUAAUAACUCAAGGUACACAUUAAAAUUUAUUUGUAAAAGGUGUUAAAGUAAAAAUCCCCCUUAACAUUCCACUCCAUAUCCAUUUUCCUCCACAGACUUAAUCACUGUUAACAUUUUGAUGCUUUCUUCUUUGUAUUUUCAUGUAAUAACAUAUCAUAUUUACUACGCACCUAUUCAACUGCCUUUUUUAACCAAAUAAAAAUGUUAUUACAUA